rnacentral:lncRNA from 1 species
UCUUUUCAUUUUCUUUUUUAAAUAGGAUCAUAGAUGUGAAGCUGAAAGAAAAGUAUAGAUCAGAAUCCCUAACACCUUCAAUUUUCAAGUAAGGAAUCUGAGACUCAGAGCCUUACCCAAAGUCACUCAGCUAAUGAAUAGUAUUAACCAGGACUGGAAUUCAGAUCAUUUGACUCCAAAGUCAACAUUCUCCUACACUAUACCCUGUCUUUGUUCCCUCUUCUAGUGCUUUCUUUACUGAGGCACUAAGGCUUUGUGAGCUGGUUUCCUGUGAUGUCUCUUCAGUACAAUGCAAGGUUCUGUAGUUUGCUAUUCGUAAUCUAACUCUGGCAAAUGUCUUGGGGAAAAUGGGAAGCAAAAGGAAAAUGCGUCUGAGUCAGGCUGAAUGAAUUCUGCAACUCCUGCUGAAGUCAGCCAGAUCUGUGGACAACAGGAUUCACCGCUUUGUCCACAUUUACUGGGAAAUAUAACAAAAGAAGAGGAAAAACCAGUGAAGAUCAGUUUAACCUAUCCAUCAAGGAAGAGAAGAGCCAAGUGGAUGAAGAUUCUUCAUCGUUCCUCUCAACCCUUCAAACCUGGCUCUGACCCCUGUUUCUUUAUUCAAUACUCUCUUUUUGAUAGGGUGGAGGGAAGGGAAAAUGGAGAAAGGCAUAUCCAAGUUACAACUAUGUCCUGGUAACCAGUGUUUAGCAUAAUGCCUAAGACAUAGUAAAUGCUUAAUAAAUGUUUAUUGAUUAAUUCUGUUUCUCUUAUU